rnacentral:lncRNA from 1 species
GCUGUGACGCAUCCGUUCUGCUGGCGGGGAACGAGCAGAACGAUCCUCCGAAUCUAACUCUGAGAGGCUUCAACGUCAUCGCCAACAUCAAGGCGCAGGUGGAGGCCAUCUGCAAGCAGACCGUCUCCUGCGCCGACAUCCUCGCCGUCGCCGCCCGCGACUCCGUCGUAGCGGUAAGCCUAUGAGCAUGGUUCUCCUCCAUCGACAGCUUGUUACGAGUUGUACCUUAACUGAUAGCUGAUUUGGUUUUGAGCGUUUGGCAGCUGGGAGGACCGUCUUGGACAGUUCCGCUGGGGAGAAGGGACUCGCUGAAAGCUGCAAGCACGAGCAUGGUGUUGCAGAACCUCAUCCCGCCUACAUCUAGCCUCACUCAACUGAUUCAAGGGUACGGGAACUUGGGCCUCAACCCAACCGACUUGGUUGCUCUCUCAGGUACGCACACCCGUGCUCUCCUGUUCUUAUCGCAAGUCCUCUGUGAUGAUUUUAACAUGUUUCCAAUGAGUGGAUUGUUGCAGGUGCGCACACGAUCGGCCAGGCGCACUGCCCGAGCUACCAAGACCACAUCUACAACGACACCAACAUCAACCAGGCGUUCGCGGCGUCGCUCAAGGCCAACUGCCCCGCGACAGGCGGCUCCAACGUCAUGGCGCCGCUGGACACGACGACGCCCAACGCGUUCGACAACGCCUACUUCAAGAACCUGCAGUCGCAGAAGGGGCUCCUGCACUCCGACCAGGAGCUCUUCAACGGCGGCAGCACCGACAACACGGUCCGCAACUUCGCGUCCAACCCGUCGGCGUUCAGCAGCGCCUUCGUGACUGCCAUGAUCAAGAUGGGCAACAUCAGCCCUCUGACGGGGACGCAAGGCCAGAUCAGGACCACAUGCUCCGCGGCGAACCCGUAAUAACGUACAAGCUAGGAUACACAUAUACGUGUGUACGAAUAAACGAUGACAUGAACGAAUAAGGUCUCAUUACAGC